AGGCAGCAGUGGGGAAUAUUGCACAAUGGGGGAAACCCUGAUGCAGCGACGCCGCGUGAAGGAUGAAGUAUUUCGGUAUGUAAACUUCUAUCAGCAGGGAAGAAAAUGACGGUACCUGACUAAGAAGCCCGGCUAACUACGUGCC
rnacentral:rRNA from 1 species